rnacentral:rRNA from 1 species
AAUCAACGCUGGCGGCGUGCCUAACACAUGCAAGUCGAACGCGAAAGUGGAGCAAUCCAUGAGUAGAGUGGCAAACGGGUGAGUAACGCGUGGGCGACCUACCUUCGAGUGGGGGAUAACCUUCCGAAAGGAGGGCUAAUACCGCAUGACAUCCCGUGUUUGGAUACACGGACAUCAAAGCCGGGGAUCGCAAGACCUGGCGCUUGGAGAGGGGCCCGCGUCCGAUUAGCUAGUUGGUGAGGUAACGGCUCACCAAGGCGACGAUCGGUAGCCGGCCUGAGAGGGCGACCGGCCACACUGGAACUGAGACACGGUCCAGACUCCUACGGGAGGCAGCAGUGGGGAAUCUUGUGCAAUGGGCGAAAGCCUGACGCAGCGACGCCGCGU